CGCCCACCUCGCUGCCCUCAAACUCCUCACGCCGCCGCUGCUCGUCCUCCUCGACUCCCCCCGUGUGCGUUCUCCUCUUCCUCUCCUCUGCGCCACGCCGGCUUCCGAUCCCGCGCUUCCAACCCCUGAUCCGUCGAUGCUGCCAGAGCGCCCUUCGGCGGAGAGAAGGCCCAGGGCGACAGCGGCCCCCAAUACCACGCCUCGAGCCCCUGCUUCAUGCAUGCUGCUAGAGCGCCCUUCAGCGCCAAGGAGGCGCAGCAGGACAAGGCCGCCGCCGGCGUCGGUGCUCCCUGGCGCGACACGACCGCCGUCGAUGUCGGUUCUCCAAGCACAUCCACUCCGACGACGCCCAGGUCCUCUAUAGUUGUUGUUUGUUCUGUUUGUUGAAGCUUCGGCCAGCCUGCUGUCUGCUGCCAUGUCGAGAGGUUGCAAGGUUCCUAGGUUCAGAUGGCAUGGACGAGUAAUCAUUUAUUCAUGGAGCUAGCGCAGAUCAUCCUUUUUCGAUAGAGGGAUUUGGGCAUCAAUCCUUGGCCUUGCUCCUGAUUAUGUAUCGGAAGUGGGAGUGCUAAUUAUGCAUGGAUGUAUACUUUGCCUACGAAGCUUAGUGGAACUGCUCAAAUUUACCUCAAUUAUAGUUUCAAGUGUUGAGAAAUCAUUUCGAGCAUUAUGAGUUCAGGCCAUGGAGGAGCUCAGAAACAUAUCCUGCUGAAGAACACAAUGGAGCGUCUUUCUGCUCAUUUCACACAAGAACACAUAAGAGUCGGCGGUCAGCUCUUUCCAUGAGGUCUUAUUUUCCAGGAACCUAUUGCCUGAAAGGCAUGAUGAUUACCAUAUGAUGCUUAGGUUAGAAUGUAUGAAACUUCGCCUUGUAUCGGUGUUUUCAGCUGUCAAAUACCAGUUGGUGAUUCUUCAUUCGGUAAGGCCCUCACCGUGGACAAGGACCUGGUCUGCCUCAAGCUGCUCGAGACCCUCCUGUGGCGCUGCCAGUAUCAAGCAUGGCAGGCUCUCUCUCAUGAGAAAUAAGAGACGGGGAAGUUGUCUGAAGCAUUUAGAAGGGGAGACUUCUGUGGGGCGCUUCCAAGCCCAUGAUAUCAAGAAGCUUCAAAUUAUGAUGACCAUCAGACCGUUUAGUUUUCUAGCCCGGUCUAGAUGCUAUGUUAUGAUUUCCAUUCUCGUGGAAGUCACACCACCCUAGGAAUUUGCGCUGAGGAACACCGAAUGCCUCCUUUGAGCUUGGGUUGCAGAGAUGACGGGGACCUCAAGGGAGUCACGCUCCUUUUGAUUCUCAUGUUUUUGUCGCCAUACCAUCUUACUGAUCUGAUCUGUGCAUAUGGAUUUAUGUUAGGUUUGUCGCCCACUCUGCAUGGCGACGUGUAGUCUCCUGAGGUGUGAAUGGAUCCAAGUGCACGUAGGGAUCUCUUCCCCGCUACACCGGCGACAGGCGCAUGAGCUUUCCGAUCCAUGGCAACACCAGUCAACAGGGUACCGCGAAUGAUUCAUCAUACUGAGGAAAUUUAGUCUGGCAUCAAAUUUUAUAUGGUCUGAUGCUCAGACACCAAUGGAAUUGUUCAAAUCUUACCCAGUGGUGAUCAUUGUAGGCUCCAUUUGUUAUCAAAAUACGCUAAUUAGUGCGUGCUCAUACACCAAAGGAACAGUUCAAGUCUUGUCGCCUGCUCAGUCAAUCAUAGUGCUUGAUACCACCAGAAGGCCAUGGCCAGUGCUCCGCCCUUCCUCCUCUUCGGCGCUCAACAAGAAGAGGGAGGCAUCGAUGAGGAAGACAAAGCGUGUUAUGAAGAGGCAGAAGACAGUGUUGCUAUCGAAGCCAUUAGAUUUAUGGAAAGUACAUAUGGCAAAGAAAUGAGAGACUAUCAUUACACCCACGUCAAAAGGCUGGAGAAUCAAGUCAAGCACCUGGUAACAUGGCUGGGUGCAGCAAAUGAGACAAUCAAGAAGCUACACAAAGGAUGCUACUACAUAUGAGCUCAUAUUCUGCCCAAAUAGUACAAAAUGCAACAACUGCUGGGCACCUGAGGGCAAGACGGUACCAAAGGAGUUAUGAAAACAACAUUUGCAUGCAUAGAAAAAUUAGCAGAGAGACUAUGCUAUAUCGGCAUGAAGUCAGGCAGCGCCUGGAGACCACGAGAGAUAGUUUCUGGUGAGCUUCAGUCAGUACAUCGUACCCAACAUGUUUGUGUAGUUACUGAAGCGUCGACCUUUUGUUUUGUAUCGCCCAAGCCAGUAUCUUUGCCCUUUUGAUGUUCUUCUCAACAAGAAAUGUAUAGCCUUUAGAUUCCCGUUGUUGUCUUUGUAGUGUAAGGUACCACCUGGUGGUAUGUUCGUAUCUCCACUUUUCUCUGAACAAGGCAUGACUUUAGAUUUCUAUUCCCGUUUCUCUAUCGUAAAAAGUAAUGUA